UUGUGCAAUUUACCCCAGACA
rnacentral:piRNA from 1 species